GGAUUAGGCAUGCAAGUCGCACGAGAAAGGCUUCUUCGGAAGCCGAGUAUAGUGGCGAGCGGGUGAGUAAUGCAUAGACAACUCGCCCUUGAGAUGGGGACAACGCCUCGAAAGGGGUGCUAAUACCCAAUGCCGCCUUGGGCCUGCGGGUCCAGGGUGAAAGGAGGCCUCUGAUUCAAGCUUCCGCUCAAGGAGAGGUUUAUGUCCUAUUAGCUAGUUGGCGGGGUAACGGCCCACCAAGGCUGCGAUGGGUAGUCGACCUGAGAGGGUGACCGGCCACAUUGGGACUGAGACACUGCCCAGACUCCUACGGGAGGCUGCAGUCGAGAAUCUUCCGCAAUGCGCGCAAGCGUGACGGAGCGACGCCGCGUGGGUGAUGAAGGCCUUCGGGUUGUAAAACCCUGUCAGCUACUACGAAACACGGGCGAUGAACAAUCGUCCCGUCUGACUUAAGUAGCAGAGGAAGCACCGGCUAACUACGUGCCAGCAGCCGCGGUAAUACGUAGGGUGCGAACGUUGUUCGGAAUCACUGGGCAUAAAGGGCGCGUAGGCGGUCUGAUAAGUCUGGUGUGAAAUCCCUCGGCCUAACCGAGGAACUGCAUUUGAUACUGUCGGGCUAGAGUACAGGAGGGGAGAGUGGAAUUCCUGGUGGAGCGGUGAAAUGCGUAGAUAUCAGGAGGAACGCCGGCGGCGAAAGCGACUCUCUGGCCUGUUACUGACGCUGAGGCGCGAAAGCUAGGGGAGCAAACGGGAUUAGAUACCCCGGUAGUCCUAGCCCUAAACGAUGGGCACUAAGUAGAGGGGUUUU
rnacentral:rRNA from 1 species